UAAAAAUCCAGAAGAAGAAGAUUCGAUUCAAAAGACUCGUAAAGGCUUUGAAGCCUCGCGAAGCAGUGUUUAAAGCGAUCGUCACUAGAGCCCGAUAUCUUUAGCCACGUGUAAGUGCUUCGGUGUGUACUUUGAAAUAAUUAAUCCGUCUUCGAUUAUUUUAUUGGUUUGUCAACAGAAGACAGGAUUUCUUAAUACGCUAACCGUUAGCAGUGAGAGAAAGUUGAAAAUCUGACCCGGACUCACUGUUGUCUCUGGAGCAGGGAUCAUUGUCCGGAAAGCGUCAUAAACAUCUCCUGACUCAUACAGUUGUGUACUUUGAGGCAAUGUUGACAGGAUGCUGCAGACUGUACGUUGGAACUUCACUUUCACAAGAAUCAAACGGAGAAAUUGGAAAUGGCACUAUUCUUUGUGAACGAACUUGGCCGUUAUGGGAAGCUAUUCAUAUGUAAACUGCAACAUCUGAAAUGUAUUUAGGCUGGGUUUUUUGUUCGACCCUAGAUGGUGUGGUGCCUUAUCUUAACAAUGUUACAAACAUUAAACCAGAGUUAAUUACAAUUUUAUGCUGUGAUCAAAGCUGUAUUUUAAUUUUUUUGUGCAAUAUUUUGCUCAUGAAAUUUUUGUUUUUAAAGAAAUAAAAAUUUGCCCAAGUCAUUUCAA